rnacentral:rRNA from 1 species
CCUGGUGAUCAUACCGGAGAGGUCCCACCCGUUCCCAUCCCGAACACGGAAGUUAAGCUCUCCUGGGCCGAUGGUACUGCUACCGCGGAAGAGUAGGUCGUCGCCAGGC